rnacentral:rRNA from 1 species
UACAGAGGGGGCAAGCGUUGUUCGGAAUUACUGGGCGUAAGGGCGCGUAGGCGGCCUUCUAAGUCGAACGUGAAAUCCCCGGGCUCAACCCGGGAACUGCGUCCGAUACUGGAAGGCUUGAAUCCGGGAGAGGGAUGCGGAAUUCCAGGUGUAGCGGUGAAAUGCGUAGAUAUCAAGAGGAACACCUGAGGUGAAGACGGGUUGCUGGGCUGACACUGACGCUGAGGCGCGAAAGCCAGGGGAGCAAACGGG